UACGGAGGGUGCGAGCGUUGUCCGGAAUCACUGGGCGUAAAGGGCGCGUAGGCGGUUCUUCAAGCGUGUGGUGAAAGUCCGGGGCUCAACCCCGGAUCGGCCGUGCGAACUGGGGGACUCGAGCACUGUAGAGGCAGGUGGAAUUCCGGGUGUAGCGGUGGAAUGCGUAGAGAUCCGGAAGAACACCAGAGGCGAAGGCGGCCUGCUGGGCAGUGGCUGACGCUGAGGCGCGACAGCGUGGGGAGCAAACAGG
rnacentral:rRNA from 1 species